UUAUUAGUGUUUCUCUCUUGUCCUUUUCCUUUAGGAAGCAGUGAAAUAUAAUGGUUAAGACACAGGCUCUAGGGAUUCCUUUGUAGCUCAGUGUUAUCACUGCUAUGGCUCUGGUUACAGCUGUAGCAUGGGUUUGAUCCCUGGCCCAGGAACUUGUGAAGGCUGUGAGCGGGACCAAAAAAAGAAAAAAAGACACAGGUUUUGUAAUAGACUGACUUGGGUCCAAAUUCGACUCCAUGACUGGCUGGGGCAUGUGACUUCUCUGAACCUCUGUGUCUUCACCUGAGAGAAUGGGAUAUUAAGAACUAUUUCACCUGGUUGCUGUGAGCGUUAAAUGAGACACCAUAUGAUACUGGGCACACAUCAGGGCUCAGUGAAUGAAGGGUAGCUAAUACAGUUUGCAGAGUCACUGAGUAGAAGUCUAGCUGCACAGAGCUUCUGUGUCUAGAUUUCAACGAUAUUCUUUCAUCAUUUCUUGGAACUCCCAGCACCCCAUGUGGCUUAUACACCACAGGCUCUGAUGUGUUUAACUUGAAAAAGAAGCAGUGUUCCCCUCUGAAGCGUGGUUCCCCAGUGCUGUUUGGCUACACCGGGAGGAGGAGGUUGGUAAGUAGUCAUGGCAGUUCAUCUUCUAGGGCAGGAAGGCUCGGGAUUUCUUGGAGAUUUCCAUUCUUCUAUCUCAUUUUCUGAGUCAGAACAACAAAUAUUUAGAGGACGUUUCCCAUCUUUUCCUCCUGAUUUCUUCUCCUCUAUCCCUUUUCAUUUUCAUCCUCCCUAGAGUGUGUUGGAGAAUCAAGAAUGUGGGUGCAGAAGAGGAGGAGCCAGAGACAUCUCUUCCUUUCCCCCAGCUUGUGCAAAGAUGCUUCUGAACACCCUUGGACUAGGUGGAUCUUAAAUUACAAGGAACAAACAGCCAGAGUCUGGACUCUACAUCCUCAUCCCCGUCACCUGGGACCCAACAUCUUCAUCACCUGGGACCCAGUGGCCAGACCUAGCAGCCUGCUGUUUGCAACUCAGGUUAGCCCCUGCAAAGGUUCCUCCCUAGACGGUGGUGGAUGA
rnacentral:lncRNA from 1 species